UUAUUGAGAAGCUUGUGGAAUGUAGGCGUAAGUGUAUUGGAUAAUUAAAGUUUUGAUAUUCUGAUAUUGUUGGAACUACUUGAAGAAUUUAACAUUUGGUAAUUAUGAGACAACUUCUACAAGAACCGGCUGAUACCCUGAAAAAAAACCUGUCAGAGCCUUCCCUAGAGGCUACACCACAUUGUCACAUUAAUUUAGAAGAGACACAAGAUUCAAAGAAGGAAUUAGUUUGAUGAUCUCACAGCAGAAUUGGAAGCUGUAUCUUUACAAUGUGUCUAUUUGGCUGAAAACAAUCAAGUUACUCAACAGGAGUUAUCUAUGAAAAAAGUACAACAGGAAUGUGAAAAACUUGAGGAAAAUAAAAAGAUGUUGGAAGAAGGAAUAGUAAAUCUUAUGACACAUAUGGAAAAAUAUGGUAGAACUUGGUAAAGUACAAGAAUAUAAAUUGGAGCUAGAAGAAAAAGCAAUGCCAGCAAUAGAAAAAAAAUAGAAGAAAUCCAUUAACACGUUAGUUUUUAAAGUCAGAUCAAAUAAGAAAACAAGUGAUCAGCACCAAGCUCCAUAUGGAGAAAGAGUGGAUGAAAGCUUUUCUCAGUGCUCUUUCUAUGAGGCCAGGCUCAGAGCCACCUUGUGUUGAAAAUCUUAAUAGUAUAGGACUCAACAGAAAAUGUAUUCCCAAAACACCUGUAAGAAUUCCUACUUCAAGCCCACAGACUUCAAAUUACCUUUUCUAUUUUGGGUUUUAUUUCACUAAUAAUAUUCUUGUUUUUAAUUUGGUGAAAUACUGAGUUGUUCAGUUGACCUAUGCAUGUUAAGUAAAGAUUAUAGUUAGCCAUAUUAACACAGAAAGGAAAUGGGAACUUUACUUUUUUUUAAAUUCCCCAGAGCUCUAAUUUUCAAGAGACACCCAUUUGCUAACUUUAUUCAGUAAAUGUAAAUAAACUGACACAUUUCAACUUUCUUUAAAGGCUGCACUUAAGUUAGAUUUUAGAAAUUGCAUGUUAUUGCCUAAUAACUGAAGGUAUAUUUUGAGAUGCUUUGGCUUACGCUCUAAUUGAUUGUAGUUUGGCUGUGGUUCAUGCCACUUUUAAGGUUUCUUUGUACCAUCUCAACUCUUCCCACCCAUACUCACAAAGGAAUGAUUGGCAUCCAAACACUUAAUCACACAUGGGUAUUUACUAUUUAAUAGAAUCCAAAAUAAGUGCAUUUUAUGAAUUAAAUAAACAUAAAAUACUAAAAGAUUCAUUUCCAUUUUUAUUUUAAAAGCCUUGUGCUCUUCUUACAUAAGAGUACAUCCUCUGACUAUAAAAAUCCUGGAAGUAAACCUAGGAAAUAUUCUUCUGGCCAUAGUGGUUGGCAAUGAAUAUAUGGCUAAGUCCUGAAAAGCAAUUGCAAGGAUAACAAAAAUUGACAAGUGUGAUCAAAUUAAA